CACGGCGCACGGGUGAGUAACACGUGGGUAACCUGCCCUUCGGUGGGGAAUAACCCCGCGAAAGCGGGGCUAAUUCCGCAUAACAUUCCGGGGACACAUGUCCUCGGACUCAAAGGAGUGAUUCGCCGGAGGAGGGGCCCGCGCCCGAUUAGCUUGUUGGUAGGGUAACGGCCUACCAAGGCUUUGAUCGGUAGCCGGUCUGGGAGGAUGGCCGGCCACACUGGAACUGAGACACGGUCCAGACUCCUACGGGAGGCAGCAGUGGGGAAUCUUGCGCAAUGGGCGAAAGCCUGACGCAGCGACGCCGCGUGGGGGAUGAAGCUUCUCGGAGUGUAAACCCCUUUCGACCCGGACGAAUGGCCCGCAAGGGACUUGACGGUACGGGUAGAAGAAGCCCCGGCUAACUACGUGCCAGCAGCCGCGGUAAGACGUGGGGGGCCAGCGUUGCUCGGAAUUACUGGGCGUAAAGGGUCCGUAGGCGGUGCGGCAAGUCGGGGGUGAAAUCUCUGGGCUUAACCCAGAGGCUGCCUCCGAAACUGCCGUGCUCGAGUGCGGGAGAGGCGAGCGGAAUUGCAGGUGUAGCGGUGAAAUGCGUAGAUAUCUGCAGGAACACCCGUGGCGAGGGCGGCUCGCUGGACCGUGACUGACGCUGAGGGACGAAAGCUAGGGGAGCAAACAGGAUUAGAUACCCUGGUAGUCCUAGCCCUAAACGAUCAGGACUUGGGGUGGCCCGCGUCCGCGGGUCGUCCCGGAGCUAACGCGAUAAGUCCUGCGCCUGGGGAGUACGGUCGCAAGACUGAAACUCAAAGGAAUUGACGGGGGCCCGCACAAGCGGUGGAACAUGUGGUUCAAUUCGACGCUACGCGAGGAACCUUACCUGGGCUCGAAAUGCUUCUGACCAGCUGUGGAAACACGGCCUUCCCGCAAGGGACAGGAGUAUAGGCGCUGCAUGGCCGUCGUCAGCUCGUGCCGUGAGGUGUUGGGUUAAGUCCCGCAACGAGCGCAACCCCUGCACGUAGUUACUACCCGCAAGGGAGGACU
rnacentral:rRNA from 1 species